AUUGAACGCUGGCGGCAUGCUUUACACAUGCAAGUCGAACGCCCCGCAAGGGGAGUGGCAGACGGGUGAGUAACACGUGGGAACGUGCCCUAAGGUUUGGAAUAUUCCCGGGAAACUGGGAGCAAUACCAAAUGUGUCCGCAAGGAGAAAGAUUUAUCGCCUUAGGAUCGGCCCGCGUCAGAUUAGGUAGUUGGUGGGGUAAUGGCCUACCAAGCCGACGAUCUGUAGCUGGUCUGAGAGGACGACCAGCCACACUGGGACUGAGACACGGCCCAGACUCCUACGGGAGGCAGCAGUGGGGAAUCUUGGACAAUGGGCGCAAGCCUGAUCCAGCCACGCCGCGUGGAUGAUGAAGGCCCUAGGGUUGUAAAAUCCUUUCGUUGGGGACGAUAAUGACGGUACCCAAAGAAGAAGCUCCGGCUAACUUCGUGCCAGCCGCCGCCGUAAAAC
rnacentral:rRNA from 1 species